rnacentral:lncRNA from 1 species
GAAGAAGGAGUCACUGACAAGGGGCGAAGGUGGAGGGAACCCACCAUUAUGGGAGAGGACUCAUGGACAGGCUUGAAGGAGGAGGAAGAAAAGGAGAAUAAGUAGAUAAGGAGAAAGGAGAGGAGAGGGAAGGAGUUAUCGAUAAGGAAUGGGUGGAGAUGAAAGGGCAGGGCUCAUGGUUGGACUUGGAUAAAGAGAAGAAUGAGGAAGAAAAA